UAUCUGUGGUGUGGACAUUUUUGAAUCGCUAUCUUAAAACACUCACAAGCUUCAUGAAAACUUUCCCCCUCUAGUUGUUUGAACAUAGAAUCUUACCGUUUUAGUUG
rnacentral:snoRNA from 1 species